GGAUGCGAUCAUACCAGCACUAAUGCACCGGAUCCCAUCAGAACUCCGAAGUUAAGCGUGUUGGGCGAGAGUAGUACUAGGAUGGUGACCCCAAGUCCUCGUGUUGCAUCCC
rnacentral:rRNA from 1 species